rnacentral:rRNA from 1 species
UAUCUCUGUAGAGUCUGCAUAUCAAUAAGCGGAGGAAAAGAAACUGACAAGGAUUCCCUUAGUAACGGCGAGUGAAGCGGGAAGAGCUCAAAUUUGAAAUCUUCAAGGUUUUACCUUGACGAAUUGUAGUUUAAAGAAGUGUUUUCUGUUGAAGUUUCGGUAAAAGUUCUUUGGAAUAGGACAUCAUAGAGGGUGAGAAUCCCGUAUUUGACCGUUAUUUUCAGCUGUGUGAUACACUUUCAAAGAGUCGGAUUGUUUGGGAAUGCAGUCCAAAAUGGGUGGUAAAUUUCAUCUAAAGCUAAAUAUUGGCGAGAGACCGACUAGCGAACAAGUACCGUGAGGGAAAGAUGAAAAGAACUUUGAAAAGAGAGUUAAACAGUACGUGAAAUUGUCAAAAGGGAAGCGUUUGACACCAGUGUUGUUUUCUCGAAAAUCAAUUAAAAAUGGCUUGAUUUUGUGUUGUAUUGACCUUAAAAGCUUUCUUCACUUUUUUCAUGUCUUUUUUAAUGCACUUUUCGUUUAACAAGUCAACAUCAGUUUCUUUUGUUGUAAAAAGGUCAUUGGAAGGUGGCUUUCUUUUCGGAGAAAGUGCUUAUAGCCUUUGACUCCUGCAAUCGGAGAGACUGAGGUCUGCAGCGUAGAUCCUUCUGGAUUAGAUUCAUUUGUGCUAAGUUACAACCGUCUAUAGACAACUUGUUGACUAUAUUCGAUCCUGUAGCUUACUCGCUUAUGUAAUUUUACCUACGCUUAGGAUGUUGACUGAUAUGUAGUCGU